GUCGAUCCAGAGUGCAGUGGUGAUUCAGUCGGUAGAGAGAGGAAGAAGAGAUGAGCCCGAUGAGAAUCCCACUCUGAAACCUGCUCCUUUGCAGCCAGGAGCCAACUGCCACAUCCUGCAUUGGAUGCAAGGGUCUCCACAUCCAGAGAAGGAUUUUACUUUUGUCCACACAUCUGCAAGAACAGUUUAAUCCACAAAGGAUCUCUGCCUCCCCCUAGUGGCGACAGGCUGAAAGAACAGGGUCAUAUAGUGCCUCAAACCUGGUGUCCCUGAGACCGCAGUAAGCCAGAGUCUGUACUCGCCAGGGUUGGGUGUCGGCCAUGUCUAGGCCUCUUCUCUCAGACCCCCAGGAGAAGCUCCUCAGCCACUCCAUCCUCACCGCAGCCCGGCUGGCCCGCAGAGGAUGGACAGAGGAAGGGAACAAGACAGGGUGGCAAUUUUCCCAUUUUGACUUGACUGAUCAAACCUCUGUCUCCAGACCAGAUGGAAAUCAGGGUCAAAAACGUGCCGAGAUUCUUGUGAAGGAGCUUGGGAACAUGCAGGUUCACAUCUUAAACAGCAGGAAGACAGCUAAGGACAGAGUGACUGGCUCUGACCAAAAGGCAGAUGAAGCGAAACACACACAAGCAGAAAGAGAGAUGGGUCUCUGCAGUCAGACGGGCGUCUUGGUCUGGGCCUCUGGCUGUCGCCCCACAUGCAGACGCCCCAAAAGGUUUAAGGCCCCGAUACUACCUGUCAUCGCUGAGAUGUAGAACAGCUGCCAUUCGUUCCAGGACAAUGUAAAAAAAAAAGCCUAAGUACUUGUGGUGCUUUUUGGUUAUGGUAAGAGUUUUAGAAUUUGUGUAGACUUUAAUUAAACCUUGUGUUAAAUGUUAAAUAUCCCUAUAGGACCAUGCAUAAAUGAUCCUUUUAAUGACACAAAAACAAUGUUGUUUUAAACACCUCGUGCCCAUUUGUGAAAAGUAUGCUAAAAGUAUUUUAUAAGAAAUGAAAUGAUAAGAAAUAUGUCUUAUAUUGAACAUCAUUUUUUAUUUCUGAUUUGAUUCCAUUUCAUGAAUUCUUUUGAAAUUAUUUGACUAUUUUAUUAUAAAUCAUGUGACCCAGUCAUGCCAGCUUAGUGCAGUAUUUUAUUACUACACUUUCAAUGUUUAAGUGAAAAUUCUGAAUUUUUUGUUGAUAAUUAUCAUCUUCAUUUCAAAAGACGGUUUGCCACUGGCCUAAUGUUUACAAACCUAGUUUUAUAAUCUUAUAAAAAAAACGGUAUAGCCUAUAUGUGUUUUACCGUCUGUAUAACCUUGACUUUUGAAUAUUUUCUAAUUAAAGUCACAUAGUGAAAUUUC